UCGAGCGGAAAGGCCCUUCGGGGUACUCGAGCGGCGAACGGGUGAGUAACACGUGAGUAACCUGCCCCAAACUUUGGGAUAACCCUCGGAAACGGGGGCUAAUACCGGAUAUGACACAGCUUCGCAUGGGGUCUGUGUGGAAAGUUUUUCGGUUUGGGAUGGGCUCGCGGCCUAUCAGCUUGUUGGUGGGGUGAUGGCCUACCAAGGCGACGACGGGUAGCCGGCCUGAGAGGGCGACCGGCCACACUGGGACUGAGACACGGCCCAGACUCCUACGGGAGGCAGCAGUGGGGAAUAUUGCACAAUGGGCGGAAGCCUGAUGC
rnacentral:rRNA from 1 species